rnacentral:rRNA from 1 species
GAUGUUAGCGGCGGACGGGUGAGUAACACGUGGGUAACCUGCCUGUAAGACUGGGAUAACUCCGGGAAACCGGGGCUAAUACCGGAUGGUUGUUUGAACCGCAUGGUUCAAACAUAAAAGGUGGCUUCGGCUACCACUUACAGAUGGACCCGCGGCGCAUUAGCUAGUUGGUGAGGUAACGGCUCACCAAGGCAACGAUGCGUAGCCGACCUGAGAGGGUGAUCGGCCACACUGGGACUGAGACACGGCCCAGACUCCUACGGGAGGCAGCAGUAGGGAAUCUUCCGCAAUGGACGAAAGUCUGACGGAGCAACGCCGCGUGAGUGAUGAAGGUUUUCGGAUCGUAAAGCUCUGUUGUUAGGGAAGAACAAGUACCGUUCGAAUAGGGCGGUACCUUGACGGUACCUAACCAGAAAGCCACGGCUAACUACGUGCCAGCAGCCGCGGUAAUACGUAGGUGGCAAGCGUUGUCCGGAAUUAUUGGGCGUAAAGGGCUCGCAGGCGGUUUCUUAAGUCUGAUGU